AUUCUUCAAAAGUUUCACUGACAUGAACCUCACUUGUGGGUGCCAGGUUAUGACCACAUGCAUAGUUUCAUCUUCAUCUUAUGCAACAUUUGGGGUAAAAGGAAGGUUAUGUGGUAACCAGUUUAUGACUUGAACUAUAGGCAAAGAUUGACCAGACCAAGCCCUGAGACACAGUGUUGAGAGCCAAGACAUAAAGUUGUGAAGAUUCAGACCCAGAGCCCAGCAGGGCACAGGCUGGAGGGGUGAUGUGAGUGAUCAGUAACACCAUGAAGACUCUGCUCCUGGGUCAGGAAUGCUUUUUUGUCCCUGUUUUUGGAUUUUCCACCAUGAUCAGCCAAUGCAGAAAGAAAUCUAAAGGUGAAGGAAAGGCAGCGUUCAGCACUGAGCAAGUCCAUGUUGGAGAAAGGAUAAAUAUUCUCAAAGAUUCAAGCUAUGAAGACCAAAUCUACAGAAGAUAGCAACUCAUUCACAGGGAAUUGGAAAUCCUUGUCUUCGUGGUUCCUGGCUCAGCAGGACCCCUGUGGGGCCUCUCCCUCUCUUGGGAAAGAGAUUGCUCUAGAAGGUUUACUACACCAGUGAGGAGAAGAUGAGCGCAAGGGGGAUUGGCCGGCUGAGGGCGAAAUCAAGACUGGAGCCAAGUGCGCUGAGCUCUCACAUGAGGUCCUUUGCUCCUGUUCCCUGGAGGC
rnacentral:lncRNA from 1 species